rnacentral:ncRNA from 1 species
CACGUCCGGCUCUCCAUACAAUGUAGCCGCCGUGACAUAUAAAAAAGGAGGAGCUUAUAUACCCUGAGGCUCGGGGUGCGGCAGUGUGGAGACCUGUCGUAAUGCGGUAUGCGUAUGCAGCCGCGAGGUUCCCGUCGGCGGAGGCCGGGGAAUUGGAGUCGGGAAAAAUAUGGCA